rnacentral:snoRNA from 1 species
UAAAAUAAGCUUUCAAGAAUUGUUUCUAUAGUUCAUUACUAGAGAAGUUUCUUUGAUCAUGUGAGCAUCUGAAACCAAGAGCAGACGAUGCAGCGUUCUCUUGUGGAGUGUGAAGUUGGUUUUUGGUGUUGCUUCACUGCAACUGCCGUUUGCCACUGGUGAUGGUUCUUCUCUGGCUCUUGGGGAGUAAGAGGGAGAGCACGCACUCUGCGUGGU